rnacentral:rRNA from 1 species
UACGAAGGGGGCUAGCGUUGCUCGGAAUUACUGGGCGUAAAGGGCGCGUAGGCGGAUAGUUUAGUCAGAGGUAAAAGCCCAGGGCUCAACCCUGGAACUGCCUUUGAUACUGGCUAUCUUGAGUUCGGGAGAGGUGAGUGGAAUGCCGAGUGUAGAGGUGAAAUUCGUAGAUAUUCGGCGGAACACCAGUGGCGAAGGCGACUCACUGGCCCGAUACUGACGCUGAGGCGCGAAAGCGUGGGGAGCAAACAGGG